CCACCCCCGGAGGGUCUCUACCUUCGUUCUACCAGAAGACCCUCAAGACUCACGAUCGAGAGGAUCUCCUGGAUCAAAGGUUCCAAGAGAUGAACCGACGGAUCGAAGAGCUCCGUCAUGCUCCCCCUACUUACAGUGAGGAUAUCUGUACUGACCCUCCUUUUUCUCAAAUGAUUAUGCAGGAACCGAUCCAUCUGAACUUCAAGCUCUCCCAAUUUGAGAGCUACAAUGGG
rnacentral:lncRNA from 1 species